rnacentral:rRNA from 1 species
GGUGAACGCUGGCGGCGUGCCUAAUACAUGCGAGUCGAGCGAACGGACGAGAAGCUUGCUUCUCUGAUGUUAGCGGCGGACGGGUGAGUAACACGUGGAUAACCUACCUAUAAGACUGGGAUAACUUCGGGAAACCGUAGCUAAUACCGGAUAAUAUUUUGAACCGCAUGGUUCAAAAGUGAAAGACGGUCUUGCUGUCACUUAUAGAUGGAUCCGCGCUGCAUUAGCUAGUUGGUAAGGUAACGGCUUACCAAGGCAACGAUGCAUAGCCGACCUGAGAGGGUGAUCGGCCACACUGGAACUGAGACACGGUCCAGACUCCUACGGGAGGCAGCAGUAGGGAAUCUUCCGCAAUGGGCGAAAGCCUGACGGAGCAACGCCGCGUGAGUGAUGAAGGUCUUCGGAUCGUAAAACUCUGUUAUUAGGGAAGAACAUAUGUGUAAGUAACUGUGCACAUCUUGACGGUACCUAAUCAGAAAGCCACGGCUAACUACGUG